UCGAACGGGCCGCAAGGCCAGUGGCGGAAGGGUGAGUAAGGCGACGGUAACCAACCCCGAGAUUGGGUAUAGCCGCGGGAAACUGCGGGUAAUCCCCAGCGACGUCCGCGUCGGGCAUCCGAUGCGGACCAAAGUCCUGGCGUCUCGGGACGGGCCGUCGUGGUAUUAGGUCGUUGGCGGGGUAACGGCCCACCAAGCCUGUGAUGCCUACCGGGCGUGCGAGCGUGGCCCGGCACACUGGGACUGAGACACUGCCCAGACUCCUACGGGAGGCUGCAGUCGAGAAUCUUCGGCAAUGGGCGCAAGCCUGACCGAGCGACGCCGCGUGGAGGACGAAGGCCUUCGGGUUGUAAACUCCUGUCGAGGGGGAGGAAGGUCGCGCAAGCGGCUUGACCGAUCCCUGGAGGAAGCACGGGCUAAGUUCGUGCCAGCAGCCGCGGUAAGACGAACCGUGCGAACGUUAUUCGGAAUCACUGGGCUUAAAGCGCGUGUAGGCGGAUGGGAACGUCGGUCGUUGAAAGCCCCCGGCUCAACCGGGGAAUGGGCGCCGAAACGACCCGUCUGGAGGGACGUAGGGGGACCUGGAACUUCCGGUGGAGCGGUGAAAUGCGUUGAGAUCGGAAGGAACGCCCGUGGCGAAAGCGAGGUCCUGGACGUCUACUGACGCUGAGACGCGAAAGCUAGGGUAGCGAACGGGAUUAGAUACCCCGGUAGUCCUAGCCGUAAACGAUGGGCACUGGGUAGGGGGCUCGCCGAUGGGCUCUCUGCCGAAGCGAA
rnacentral:rRNA from 1 species